UGGGGUAUAUUGGACAAUGGGCGAAAGCCUGAUCCAGCCAUGCCGCGUGUGUGAAGAAGGUCUUCGGAUUGUAAAGCACCUUAAGUUGGGAGGAAGGGUAGUAAGCGAAUACCUUGCUGUUUUGACGUUACCGACAGAAUAAGCACCGGCUAACUCUGUGCCAGCAGCCGCGGUAAUACAGAGGGUGCAAGCGUUAAUCGGAAUUACUGGGCGUAAAGCGCGCGUAGGUGGUUCGUUAAGUUGAAUGUGAAAGCCCCGGGCUCAACCUGGGAACUGCAUCCAAAACUGGCGAGCUGGAGUAGGGCAGAGGGUGGUGGAAUUUCCUGUGUAGCGGUGAAAUGCGUAGAUAUAGGAAGGAACACCAGUGGCGAAGGCGACCACCUGGGCUCAUACUGACACUGAGGUGCGAAAGCGUGGGGAGCAAACAGG
rnacentral:rRNA from 1 species